rnacentral:rRNA from 1 species
UACGUAGGGGGCAAGCGUUGUCCGGAUUUACUGGGCGUAAAGGGCGUGCAGGCGGUCUGUUAAGUGCAGGGUGAAAGCUCCCGGCUCAACUGGGAGAGGUCCUUGCAUACUGGCGGACUUGAGGGGGGUAGAGGAAAGUGGAAUUCCCGGUGUAGUGGUGAUAUGCGUAGAUAUCGGGAGGAACACCUGUGGCGAAGGCGGCUUUCUGGGCCCUACCUGACGCUGAGACGCGAAAGCGUGGGGAGCAAACAGG